GGGGAUGAUCGGCCUAGACAAGAGACAACCUCAUAUAUGCGCGAAAUGGAGCACUCCAACCAUCUCCUUAAUCCGUUGGAAAAAAUAAUUGCUAACAAUUUUGUUGCAAUGGCAAAGAAAAUAGUUUCUCCUUAUUAUGGAGCGAACGACUUUGCUUUCGCUUACGCUAAAGCCUAAGCGGCAUCGCUUCAUCAGACUUCCGAUACGGUGAACGCGGUGUAAUAUCUUCGGGAUAGAUUAUGAAUUUGACCCGACUCAUAAUCGAAACUUAGGGAAUCGGCCUGCAAGCAUUUGGUCUGUUUCAGAACUUGCUCGGCUUAAAACACUAAAGCAGACUACAUUUCGUAGACACAUAUAGAGCGCCUUUUGCACGCGGGUUCGAUUCCCGCCAUCUCCACAG
rfam:Parcubacteria bacterium GW2011_GWA1_40_21 TT90_C0020, whole genome shotgun sequence.